rnacentral:rRNA from 1 species
UACGUAGGUGGCAAGCGUUGUCCGGAUUUACUGGGCGUAAAGCGAGCGCAGGCGGACCGUUAAGUAGGAAGUGAAAGGUCGGAGCUCAACUCCAACAUUGCUUUCUAUACUGGCGGUCUUGAGUCACGGAGGGGAAAGCGGAACGACACGUGUAGCGGUGAAAUGCGUUGAUAUGUGUCGGAACACCAAUGGCGAAGGCAGCUUUCUGGACGAUGA